GUUUACUCUAUGUUUUCAGCGCUGACAUCUAAAAUUGUGAUGAAGGCAUCUGUUAAUAACAUGGAAAUUGCAUGCGAUUAAAGAUGAAUUCUGAAGUUCAAGUAUGGUGAAAUAGACAUGAAAAUCCGAGCAUUUGUGACAUCUUAAGGUAAAGGACGUUUUAGGAAUCCAAGAUGAAAUGACGAAAGCAGUCAAAAUGACUGCUUUGGCGCUUCUAGUGUCAAGAAUUAAAUAAGAAGCGCAGGUGAUCCAAUUUUAAGUCCAGUAUUACAUGGAUUUGCUUCUUAACGAAUGCUGAACUACUUCAUUUACGACAGCAGACCGAGGAUUCAUAUGUGCGAAUAUAGCGAAAGUGUCCAUUGAGCAGAAAAAAGUAGAAAACAUUGAAAGAAGGAAUAAAAUAGAAAAAUCUGGAAAAGGAAUCAAACAUGUGGGAAGAUUAAGAAAAGCAGAAAGAUCAACAGAACAGGAAGCAAGAAGCAGAAAGUGUCGGCCGUGGGGGUUGAUCCUUAAACAAGGAAUAUAUCCUCAGAACGCACAGAGGGUCAUCACUUUACGGGGAAAAAGCGAUUUUGAUUUUUCAUUGAAUAUAACUAUUUCACUAUACAUCUGAGCAUUCGAGAAUUUUCCUUUGUGUAUGUUAUA